AUACGAAGGGUGCAAGCGUUACUCGGAAUUUACUGGGCGUAAAGCGUGCGUAGGUGGUUCGUUAAGUUCUGUCGUGAAAGCCCCGGGCUCAACCUGGGAAUGGCGAUGGAUACUGGCGGGCUAGAGUGCGGUAGAGGAGAGUGGAAUUCCCGGUGUAGCAGUGAAAUGCGUAGAGAUCGGGAGGAACAUCAGUUGCGAAGGCGGCUCUCUGGACCAGCACUGACACUGAGGCACGAAAGCGUGGGGAGC
rnacentral:rRNA from 1 species